rnacentral:rRNA from 1 species
UAACCUACGGGACGCAGCAGUGAGGAAUAUUGGUCAAUGGACGAGAGUCUGAACCAGCCAAGUAGCGUGAAGGAUGACUGCCCUAUGGGUUGUAAACUUCUUUUGUCAGGGAGCAAUUGGGUCCACGCGUGGGCUUAGCGAGAGUACCUGAAGAAAAAGCAUCGGCUAACUCCGUGCCAGCAGCCGCGGUAAUACGGAGGAUGCGAGCGUUAUCCGGAUUUAUUGGGUUUAAAGGGUGCGUAGGCGGAAUAUCAAGUCAGCGGU